rnacentral:rRNA from 1 species
GAUGAACGCUGGCGGCGUGCCUAAUACAUGCAAGUCGAGCGAACAGACGAGGAGCUUGCUCCUCUGACGUUAGCGGCGGACGGGUGAGUAACACGUGGAUAACCUACCUAUAAGACUGGGAUAACUUCGGGAAACCGGAGCUAAUACCGGAUAAUAUAUUGAACCGCAUGGUUCAAUAGUGAAAGACGGUUUUGCUGUCACUUAUAGAUGGAUCCGCGCCGCAUUAGCUAGUUGGUAAGGUAACGGCUUACCAAGGCGACGAUGCGUAGCCGACCUGAGAGGGUGAUCGGCCACACUGGAACUGAGACACGGUCCAGACUCCUACGGGAGGCAGCAGUAGGGAAUCUUCCGCAAUGGGCGAAAGCCUGACGGAGCCACGCCGCGUGAGUGAUGAAGGUCUUCGGAUCGUAAAACUCUGUUAUUAGGGAAGAACAAAUGUGUAAGUAACUAUGCACGUAUUGACGGUACCUAAUCAGAAAGCCACGGCUAACUACGUG